GACGGCAGGGCUCACUGCCCCACCCACCCGACGGAACCCUUGUGCCCUCCACCAACGAGCUUCAGUGCACCUGCCCUACCAAGACCCAGGAGGGAGGGCACAAAUCCUUCCCCCGGCACUGCUGAGCAUAGGUGCCAAAUAGGGACCUUGUGUGACGGCGGCCCCCCUCCACCUGUGGACAGCGUAAGGCACAUUUCCUGCUGGCCUACUCCUUCCAGGUGCCUAGGGCUCAGACCCAGUACAGCCAAUGACUGAUCAUUUAGUCUUCAGGCCUCCCCAAGGCCACGCCACGCCCAGAACAACGGGCUUCCCACCCCUGUCUGAUUCCUGAUCGCUGCCUAACUCCUACAGGUCCUUGUAAAACUCGGCUUCCUGCCCCUUGUCCAGGAACAGUCCUGCUUCCCCAGCUCAGUGAGCAUCCACAACACCCUGUAUGAAAGCCGAACACUCUGCUGACUUGUCUCCUGCCCCCCAACUUCCCAGCCUCGAUGACGUUUGAGCAAAGAACUCAUUCUCACUCCUCCGUGAUCCCACAGCUCUGGGCCCAGCGUCUGGUCCAUAAGAAAUGGUAGUUGAAGACGAAUCAUCAACCUAAAUGUGAAGCCCAAACAGAACUAGAAAAAUACUAGAGGCAAACAGGAGAAAAUCUUUGUGAUCUUGAGUUUGGCAAAGAUCUCUCACAUGUAACACCAAAAGCAUGGUCCAUAAGAGAGAAUAUUUAAAAAAAAAAAAAAACAUGAUAAGUUAGACUUCACUGCAAUUUAAAACUUCUCUUCAAAAGACAUUAUCAAGAACAUAAAAAGACGAGCCACAGAUCGGAAGAAAAGCAUCUGGAAAACACGAAACUGGUAAAGGGCUUGCUUCCUGACUUUAUAAAGAACUCACCCAACUCAACGGCAACUCCGUAACUCAACUCCGUAAAAGAUGGUCAAAGAUUCAACACUUUGCCAACGAGGAUAUUCUCGGGAUGGCAAACGAGCACAUGAAAAGAUGCUCCACGUCAUUAGUCGUGAAGUAAAUGCAAAUUGAAACCACAAGGAGAUACUACUACACGCCUAGGAGAAUGGCUAGAAAAUAAAAUAAAAUAAAACAAUAUCGAGUGCAGGGAUUUGGAGCAACGGGAACUCUCACUCAUUGCCGGUGGAAAUGCAAAACGGAAUAGAAUCUUUGCACAACAGUGCAGCUGUUUCUUAUAAAAUUGAACCUGCACUAAUACAACCCAGUAAUCCCACUCCUCAGCCUUUAUCCAAGAGAAAUGGACACUCGAGUUCACAUAAACGUUUGUAAUGGGAAUGCUUGUAACAGCGUGAUUCAUAGGCUUGGUUCAUAAGAGUGAAAACUUGAAACCACCAGACUGUCCUUUGAUGGUGAGUGGAUAUCACUGUGGUAUGUCCACGUGCUGAAUGACGUGCAAAAACAACACACGAAUUUUAAGUGCAUUGUGCUAAGUGAAAGAGGCCAAACUGAAAAGGCUACACAUUAUAGGAUUCCAUUUAUAGGACAUUCUGAAAAAGGCAAGACCAUAAGGACAGAAAACAGAGCAGUGGUUACCAGGGCUUGGGACCUCACCCUACAUUCCUCUCCAGCUAGUUGCUCAUCUGUAGCCUUUAUGAUAUCUUUUAUAAGAAACCGGUGGAAGUAUAUAAAUGUUUUCCUGAGUUCUGUGAGUCACUCCAGCAAAUUAACUGAACCUGAGGAGGGCGUUGUGGGAACCUCCGAUUUAUAGCAGGUAGACGGUGUCAGAACUGAGUGAACUGCUCAAUGUGUCGGAAAACACACAUCAGAGGGACUGACUAUAAAGAGGUACAAGGAAAUUUGGGGCGUAAGUUGUGAAUCCUGAUUGUGGCAGUGGUUGCACACGCAUUUGUCAAAGCUCAAGUGGGCUGAAUGAAUAUAAUCCAAGGCUUUCCUUGCACUGGCCCAAGCCCACCUUGCCAACCUCAUUUCCUCCUCCCCUACUCAUGCUUUCCGGACUCCUGUGAAGCUGGCCUUCCGUGGCCCCCAGCAGCAUGGGCCUUGCCCACCCCCAGCCUUUUCUCCGGUUUUCUUCGCGUUCCCUUUGCCUGGUCAGCCUUUCCCACCUUUGCCCCCGCUUAUACACAAAUCUUAUCCAUCCUUCAUGCCCCAGGGCAAAUGUUACCUUUUCUUGUAACUGUAUUUGAUUACCACCACCCCACAUGCACAAAAAGCUGGAAGUGAUUUGCUAUGCCUGUAAAUGCCAAGCAUCUUAUCUGCAUCUCUUACAUUUCUCACCAUUUCUUGUACGAUUGUGUACGUAUCACGUAUCUCCAACUAAUUUUAAGUGCCAAGUUUGAGUCACUUUUGCACUUAUGCACAGUGUCUAGAUCGAUGUCUUAUAUGUGGUAAGUGCUCAGAAAUGUUAUGUUUGAUGAAUUAAUGAAAAAAAUCAAUGGCCAGGGUGACCUGUGGCAGCUAAAGUUGGUGUGGUCAGCACCCGGAAAGAAUAGUAUCACCCAGGAGUCCAGAUUAGAUGGCCUCUUAGUGAUAAGCAAACAGGACUAGGGAGGUUAUACCUCCACAACUACUAUUCGUAUGGUAGUCGCCUGGCCCCCCUACCUGGCUGAUCAAGGCUGGUUAAAAACACACAUGCCUGGGGUCCUGACUCAGUCCAUCAAGGGUGAGUGCUGCUUCUGAAUUUUUAAUAAACUCCCAGUGUGACUCAUCAGUCAAGCUUGGGACUUACCUUCCUAAAUGGUCAGAAGGUCAAAGACUCACCUACAGGUAGCCAAUAAAAAAAUGCAGGCUUUGAGUAUCUGUUUAGAGGUACCACACACACACACACACAUGCACGCACACACGCACAGGCAUGUGGAUCAUCAAACUGUAAUACGUCCAUACCCGUCAAUAAAAAGGAGUGAACUGCUGACACAUAGAACACGGAUGAAUCUCAGAAGCGUUAUGCUGAGUGGAAGAAACCAGACACCAAAUACUACAGAGUGUAUGGUUCCACUGAUCUGAAAUUCUAGAAGAAGCAAAAAUAAGGUGGAGUGAUAGAAACCUGAUCCGUGUUUGCUGGGGGCCAGGGCCAGGGGGCAGACAGGCACUGGGAACCUGACUUCCUGUAAAGGGACACAAAGGGAGUUUUAGGGGUGAUGGGAAUGCUCCGUGGCUUCACUGGAGUGGUGGUUCCAGGGAUGUAUACAUUUAGCAAAAGUCAUCAAAGUAUACAUUCAAGGGGCACCUGGGUGGCUCAGUUGGUUAAGCAUCCAACUCUUGGUUUUCAGGUCAU